UCAGAACUGACUUUGAAAUUCAGCUGAGGAAAGGCAGCAGAGAGUUUGAGAAGAGUACACAGCAGUCAUAAGGCUAGGGCUUCUAUCCCACUCACAGCGCUCCAUGACUCUAAGGCCCAAGGUAAAGAUUCAGAUUUGACAGUGAAUUCCCUCUGCACGACUUUCCAUUGGAAGGCAUCUGAGGCUGGUGCAGGCGACAGAGCAGUAGCAUGUCUCGAAAGCAAAUGGAGACACUUUAAAGGAGAGGUUCAAAGGAAAACAGCCCAGGUUCUAGACGAUGACACGUGAAUAAAGUCUUCAUCUGGCGUCGUGGCCUCAAACAGACACACAGUUCCAAAUCAAGCCCUGCAGCUGCAUCUCCUGAACUCUGAUCCAAACCAUGCUCCUGGUCUAGAGGAACCACUGAAAGAAAUUUUGUGAUUUCGAACCACCAUGUCCCAUGACCACAGCUGUGGGAGAUGCUGACAGUCAGUUAUUUGCUGAAGAGCAGCGCUAAUCACAUCUCCUUGGACUUCUCAAAAAGUAACUCGGCUGCCUUCCCCAGGUCUUUCAAGUAAGUUCCAAAUUCCUUGCAAUGGGUUUACAUCUUAACCACAAAUACUUUUCAUGCUCAUCUUCUCCCACUCCUCCCUAUGCAGUUUUUUCAAGUACUCAGCUGAUAGAGCUUCCAGAACCUUGAGGUAUUUCAUGUCUUUGAGAUUCUGCCCAUCCCCUCUUUCUUCUCUCACUUCACCAGGCAGCCAGCUGCUCCAGCACACCCUGCAUUACCUAUUCAAAUGGUAGUCAUAUUCCCCAAGAAUAGGCCAGCCUGCUAAAGAUAUAUUAAAUGCGAGGAUGGAGGGUGAAAGUGAGUUAAAGAGGAAUUGAUGAGUCUUAUUUCUAACAGUGUCACAGAUUUCACCGUUUUCAACAUGUACCAUGGGCUUCAUAAAUCAUAUAAUUAUUUCCCUGCUGCAAACUGUGAUUUUGAUGAAAAAAAUCAUCAAACUUCUUUCUAGGCAUUGAGUUUGAUAAGAAGCUUUUUUGCAAUAAUAAGUUUUUGUUGCUACAUAGUGAUUGUGUGUGUAUGAAAUACCUAAAUAUGCAUAACUAUACAAUCUGGGUGAUAUAAACUUACUCUAAGAGGAAAAUGGAACAUAAAAGAAGGGAAGUACCAUUUGUGGUGGGAUAACCACUUGCCAGAGACUGGAUCAAUCAUUUUCCCUGCUAUUUGUUCCCAUAUUAAAGUCAUCAGGGCCAUCUGGUGACCUCUAUGUUGUAGAUCAAGAAAAUGAACUCUUGAGAGUGUAAGUAAUUUGCUCAAGGUCACAUGUAGAGUAAGCACUAAAGUAGAGUUUAAAUCUAAAUCCACCCCUAUCUGGCUCUAAAGACAUUCACUAAUUUAUUUGGGUGAAAAGCUCAUUGUAAACUUCAAAUACUUAAACCGUUUUAUAUCAAAUCUUCUAUAAUUAAAUGGAAAAGGCUUUUCGGAAAAAAAAAAGCAAGUCAGCAGCUACAGCCCCUUCACCCAGAAUUAGCAACUGUUAACAUAUUUGCUUAUAUGCUUUCCUCGUUUUUGUUGUUACCCAAUGAGUUUUCUGGGGGAAAUCCUGCUAUUUAUUUUUAGAAGAGGAAAAAUGUGUAUUACAAAAAUUAAAUCAAUAGAGAAAGUUACCAAAAAGAAUAUAUAAAGAAUCACAUCAAUUUCUACCAUUAAGUGCACAUGUGAAAGUGGGAUG